CAGCGGAGGGACAUUGCUGGAACGCGCCCCAGGCGCACCCAGAAACCCUUUGUGAACUUAUACCUUACUGUUGCCUCGGCGCAUGCCGGCCCCCCUGGGGGCCCCUCCUUCUGGAGGAGCAGGCACGCCGGCGGCCAACCUAACUCUUGUUUUUACACUGAAACUCUGAGAAUAAAACAUAAAUGAAUCAAAACUUUCAACAACGGAUCUCUUGGUUCUGGCAUCGAUGAAGAACGCAGCGAAAUGCGAUAAGUAAUGUGAAUUGCAGAAUUCAGUGAAUCAUCGAAUCUUUGAACGCACAUUGCGCCCUCUGGUAUUCCGGAGGGCAUGCCUGUUCGAGCGUCAUUUCAACCCUCAAGCCUGGCUUGGUGAUGGGGCACUGCUUUUACCCAAAAGCAGGCCCUGAAAUUCAGUGGCGAGCUCGCCAGGACCCCGAGCGCAGUAGUUAAACCCUCGCUUUGGAAGGCCCUGGCGGUGCCCUGCCGUUAAACCCCCAACUUCUGAAAAUUUGACCUCGGAUCAGGUAGGAAUACCCGCUGAACUUAA
rnacentral:rRNA from 1 species